rnacentral:rRNA from 1 species
UUGCCAGCAGCCGCGGUAAUACGUAGGGUGCAAGCGUUGUCCGGAAUCAUUGGGCGUAAAGAGCUCGUAGGCGGUCUGUCGCGUCUGCUGUGAAAACCUGGGGCUUAACCCCGGGCCUGCAGUGGGUACGGGCAGACUAGAGUGCGGUAGGGGAGACUGGAAUUCCUGGUGUAGCGGUGAAAUGCGCAGAUAUCAGGAGGAACACCGGUGGCGAAGGCGGGUCUCUGGGCCGUAACUGACGCUGAGGAGCGAAAGCAUGGGUAGCGAACAGGAUUAGAUACCCUGGUAGUCCAUGCCGUAAACGUUGGGCGCUAGGUGUGGGGCUCAUUCCACGAGUUCCGUGCCGCAGCAAACGCAUUAAGCGCCCCGCCUGGGGAGUACGGCCGCAAGGCUAAAACUCAAAGGAAUUGACGGGGCCCCGCACAAGCGGCGGAGCAUGCGGAUUAAUUCGAUGCAACGCGAAGAACCUUACCAAGGCUUGACAUGCAGGGAAAUCUCCCAGAGAUGGGAGGUCCGCAAGGGUCCUGCACAGGUGGUGCAUGGUUGUCGUCAGCUCGUGUCGUGAGAUGUUGGGUUAAGUCCCGCAACGAGCGCAACCCUCGUUCUAUGUUGCCAGCGGGUAAUGCCGGGGACUCAUAGGAGACUGCCGGGGUCAACUCGGAGGAAGGUGGGGAUGACGUCAAAUCAUCAUGCCCCUUAUGUCUUGGGCUUCACGCAUGCUACAAUGGCCAGUACAAAGGGCUGCGAGACCGUAAGGUGGAGCGAAUCCCAAAAAGCUGGUCUCAGUUCGGAUUGGGGUCUGCAACUCGACCCCAUGAAGUCGG